AUUAGUGGCGGACGGGUGAGUAACGCGUGGAUAACCUGCCGUAUACAGGGGGAUAACACUUAGAAAUAGGUGCUAAUACCGCAUAAGCGCACGGUUCCGCAUGGAACAGUGUGAAAAACUCCGGUGGUAUACGAUGGAUCCGCGUCUGAUUAGCCGGUUGGCGGGGUAAAGGUCCACCAAGGCGACGAUCAGUAGCCGGCCUGAGAGGGUGAACGGCCACAUUGGGACUGAGACACGGCCCAAACUCCUACGGGAGGCAGCAG
rnacentral:rRNA from 1 species